UACGGGAGGCAGCAGUGGGGAAUAUUGGACAAUGGGGGGAACCCUGAUCCAGCCAUGCCGCGUGUGUGAAGAAGGCCUUUUGGUUGUAAAGCACUUUAAGCAGUGAAGAAGAAGUUAUGGUUAAUACCCAUAAUGGAUGACAUUAGUUGCAGAAUAAGCACCGGCUAACUCUGUGCCAGCAGCCGCGGUAAUACAGAGGGUGCGAGCGUUAAUCGGAAUUACUGGGCGUAAAGCGAGCGUAGGUGGCUUAACAAGUCAGAUGUGAAAUCCCCGGGCUUAACCUGGGAACUGCAUCUGAAACUGUUCGGCUAGAGUAGGUGAGAGGGAAGUAGAAUUCCAGGUGUAGCGGUGAAAUGCGUAGAGAUCUGGAGGAAUACCGAUGGCGAAGGCAGCUUCCUGGCAUCACACUGACACUGAGGUUCGAAAGCGUGGGUAGCAAACAGGAUUAGAUACCCUGGUAGUCCACGCCGUAAACGAUGUCUACUAGUCGUUGGGUCCCUUGAGGACUUAGUGACGCAGCUAACGCAAUAAGUAGACCGCCUGGGGAGUACGGCCGCAAGGUUAAAACUCAAAUGAAUUGACGGGGGCCCGCACAAGCGGUGGAGCAUGUGGUUUAAUU
rnacentral:rRNA from 1 species